CAUGCUUCUUGGUUUGAUGGCGAUUUUAUCAUCAUGUGGGAGUUGUAGCUUUCACACUGAACUUUCCCUUGAAGAAGCAACUUUGAAAGAUCUCCAACGUGCUUUCUAUCAAAACAAACUCACCUCCAGGCAACUUGUCGAGUUUUACCUCGAACAAGUGCGUAGACUUAACCCCAUCCUAAAAGGGAUUAUAGAAGUGAAUCCAGAUGCUUUAGACCAAGCCUCUCGAGCUGACCUCGAGCGCAAGAAAAGCUCACCAAGAUCUUUGUCUCCACUUCAUGGCAUUCCUGUACUUGUAAAAGAUAACAUUGCAACCAAGGAUAAGCUCAACACAACCGCUGGCUCUUUUGCUCUACUUGGCUCUGUUGUUCCUCGUGAUGCAGGUGUGGUUACUAAGUUGAGGAUGGCAGGUGCAAUCAUAUUUGGAAAAGCGAGCCUGAGCGAGUGGUCUUACUUCAGGUCCAAUGCACUUCCCAGUGGUUGGAGCGCUAGGGGUGGCCAAGGCAAGGUGUGUAACUUUUCCAACUUCAAUAAUUGUCUGUUUCUGAAAGAGGAAGAUUAUCACUUUAGAUAACGCGGAGUUUCAUUUCAAAAUCAAUUGAUGAUAAUGAGCAACUUACAACUUAGUUUAUCUAUCUUAAAAAUAUUUCGAGGUUCUUUCAUUUUUUCAGGAAAUACACAAUAUAUCUAUUAAGAUGGAGUUACUUUUGAGUGUUGGAGAUAUAAAGAAUCCCAUGUUAAAAAAACCAAGAAAAUUUUCACUCCAUAUAAUAUAGAUGAGCUACUCUUUUUGCAUUGAGUGUUCUUGGACUGGAUACCGAGUUUUAUUUUUAGACCAUGUCAAGUCACCUAUUGAUCGCCUAAAAGCUUACAGUUGAUAAAUUCAAUUAUACCAAUACUUAUAUAUCUCUCACGAUUGAAUAAAAGAAGAUUUUGAGCUGUUGACAUACUCAGAUUCAGCAAACAGAGUGAUUUAAGUUCAAAAUAUCUCUAAGUAAGCUAGACUGUCCAAUUAAAAGAAAAGAGAUUUGUUUUGAAUCAACAACAAACUAAAGAUCACCCAUAUGCGCCAUAUGUUUGCAGAAUCCUUACACAAUGGGAGAACCGUGUGGCUCCAGCAGCGGCUCUGCCAUAUCUGUUGCAGCAAAUAUGGUUACAGUUUCACUGGGAACCGAAACUGAUGGAUCAAUAUUAUGCCCUUCUACUCUCAACUCAGUAGUUGGCAUUAAACCCACAGUAGGUCUCACCAGUAGAGCAGGGGUCGUUCCGAUCUCUUCGAGGCAGGACACUGUCGGGUAAUCAAUUUGUCAUCAUUGAAAUUUUCCCAUUUAUAUUUGUAUCCAAAGGAAGUACUUUCUGCUGAAUGAGUGAUGAUGAAACAGGCCUAUUUGUAGAACAGUGUCAGAUGCGGCUUAUGUUCUAGAAGCCAUUGUAGGAGCGGAUAGAUAUGACAAUUCAACAAUUGAAGCAUCAAAAUACAUUCCAAAAGGAGGAUAUGGCCAAUUUCUAAGGGCUGGUGGGCUGAAAGGAAAGAGAAUAGGAAUUGUGAGGGAAUUCUAUGAUUUUGGUCCUGAUGACACUUUCUACACUCAAGCUUAUGAGAAAGUCGUCAAAACCUUGAAGUAAGAAAGCAAUCUCACUUUUCAUAAACCAUCUUUUUUUUAUAUAAUUAUGUUAGAGGUUUUUAUCUGACCCUUUGUCAUCAAUAACAUGAAAGGAAAGGAGGAGCAAUAUUGGUGGACAAUCUGAUGAUAGACAACCUAGAGCAAAUCUUUGACGGUUCAAGUGGGGAACAGAUUGCAUUGCUUGCCGAAUUCAAAAUAUCCUUAAAUGCCUAUCUCAAAGAGCUAGUUGCUUCUCCAAUUCGAUCCUUGUCAGAUGCAAUAGAAUUCAACAAAAAGAACUCAAAACUUGUGAGCGACUAUCAUCUAUUCUGUUCUAAUUUUACAAAAUCCGCACAACACAAAAGGCAAACUAUCAUAACAAUGAAAUCUUAUCACUAUGUAGGAAAAUCUAGAGUAUGGUCAGGAGGAAUUUCUAAAAGCAGAAGCCACAAAUGGAAUCGGAGAUGCAGAAAAGGCAGCAUUAGCCAGAUUAGCAAAACUGUCAAAAGAUGGAUUUGAGAGACUGAUGAUUAAGAAUAAGCUUGAUGCAGUAGCAGCUCCUGGUUCGCUAAUAUCUCCUGUUUUUGCAAUUGGAGGUUUUCCUGGAGUUAGUGUACCAGCUGGAUAUGACCCUCAAGGGAAUCCCUAUGGUAUCUGCUUUGGAGGAUUAAAAGGAUUCGAGCCAAGGCUGAUAGAGAUUGCAUAUGGAUUUGAGCGUUUGACUAAGAGUAGAAAGCCCCCUUCAAUUAAGAGACAAUAAAUUAUCCAUCUAUGGAUGAAAUCUUAAGGUUUGCCAGAAGCUAUUAGACUUGUAAUGUUUAAUCCUUGUGAUGAAACUACAUGUUUCAACAAGUAAUAAAAUGAUUUCCUUAAUUUAAAUACAAAACUUCUAAGAUAUUAACUGACAAUAUUUAACGUAGGUGUAGAAAGAAAGCCCUGCUGCUAAACCUGUUUGUUGAGAAAAUGAAAUCGAUGGAAAAAUAUAGAUGUUAGGGAAGAAAAUCAAUGUCUCAAUGUUUGUUUAACGUUAAACAAAGAGAAUGUGAGAGCGAAAUCCAAAGGUUGUGUUACUCAAAAUGCGGUACCCAAAAUUGUGAUACACAAAAUGUUGUAUAACAAAUGUGAUACUAAAAAAUGUUGAACUGAAGGCAUUCACUCUACUAUGAAUUUCCAUCCUAUUGAUAUGAAUUCACUUUUAACGCAUUGCAUUGGUAAAUUGGAUUCAAAGACUGGGUUGGAAUUAUCUUCAAUGGUAUAGUGAUAUAACAAUCUUCAUGAAAGGCAGACCAGUGGUGAAUCCAAGUUGUGAUUAACUUUCCAGUUCAAUACAAACUGUAAUGGAACCUAACCCAGAUUACAAAUCUGAUACAUAACGAGAUUUCAUUAUACCAUUCCUAAUUAGAAGAGACAAUUAAAUUGCAAGAACAAUGGGCUUCAAUGAUGCAAUAUGAGAAUCAAGAACAAAGUCGACAAUAGCCUAUAUCAGGGAAUUGAUAAUAAUACUGUUUCAGAGAGAAAUGAAAAAGAAGCUGGAAAUUACCAGGACGAUAUAUCAAUAUUAUCCUUCUUUAUGAUUUUUUCUCUCUUUUGUCCAACCAGUCUUCGUCAUUCUCUCUGGCUUCCUCUUCUUUCGUCUUCACGCACGAGCUCUCUCCAACUUCCUCUUCUUUCGUCUUCACGCACGAGCUCUCUCCAACUUCCUCUUCUACUCCAGCACAGCAUGCAUGGGCAAGAAACUUCUUCGAGAGAGACUUAAAGAUGGGUGGUGGGAGAGUGAGACCAACUGAAGAUGGGCGAGAGUGACACCAAGCGAGAGAGACUGAGAGAAGAGUGACACCAACAUGCAAGACUAAGAGAGAUUGAGCCAGACGGAGACAAAGGAGAUUGCUUCUUCCCCAUGCACGUGAGUGUAUUUUGGUCAGCAAAGGAUCAUUCAACAUUUUAAAAAAUAAAAAUGAAUUAUUUUCCUUCCAAUUUUUGGAUCAUCACAAAUUCGACUCUUUUUUCAUUUCACUUCUAAUUGCUCACUUUAUUUUAUUUAAAAAUCAUUUCAAGAUCCUACCAUUAGCAAAAAUGUUAUCAUGAUAACAUUAGAAACGUGAAGUCUCCAAUUUAAAAAAAUAUGAAUAUUGGUGAAAAUUUUAAAGACUGCAGGAAAGUUCAUGAAAAUUGUUUCAAUUAGUUAAUUGUUAGUUAGUUGUAGCAAAUAUAGAUUUAGAUUGUAGUUCAAGAACAACUUUUAAUUAUCCUUUCUUUAUCUAUUUUGAUGGUUAUAGACUCAUAGAACAUGUCAAAUAAUUUCACAUUUAAUCAUUAGAUAAAAAAUAAUUAAUUAUGUAAAGUGAGAUUUUAGCUUCUUAUUGAAUUUCCUCGUAUAGAAAAACUAGAGAACUACUUCAAAACUAAAGAACUACGUAAUGGUUAGUUGAAUUAUGUAAUUAAACUAUGACGACUUUUAUUAUUUUAAAAAAAUCGUAGUUAGAGGCUUGUCAUUAGCGUACUCUUAAUUCACAACCUAAAUCUAUCGAUGGUUGACAAUUAGAUUUCGAUCACAAUACACUACUAACAUAACAUGUAUUCUAUGAUAUAUUUCAAAUGUCUUUUUCUUACUUCAGUUUUGUUUUCUCAAUGACUCAAGAAAAUAUUAAAAAUAAUUCCAUGCAAUUUUUUUUCAAAGUAACUAUAAAAAUUAGCGUGGAAAACUCUUUACUAAAAUAGUUAUGUGUAAAAGAAAUAUAGCUAAAUUUGUUAAUUUUAACUUCUAAUUUAACUAAAGUUUUAACUAAGAGUCAUAGGAAAGUCUAUAAAUACCGUGUAUUACUUUGAUAUUUGAUGAUGACAAAAACUGAACUUAAAUAAUAUCUUGUUCCCAAACACAAUGGACAUAGGCACUUGCCAAAACACUUUAAAAUCAUGUGUGUUCAUCUUCUCCUUCUACUUCUCUUCAUCUCACCAUCUCCUAAAAGAAACUCAAACAACUAAACCUAGAAAAAUACAGGAAAGAAAGAAAGGAGAAGAAAGCUUGGAGAACUCUUAUUAAUCUUCUGUAAUCCAAAAUCACACACAAAGUGAAAAGCAAGAGAAAUUGAAAGACCGUGGAGAGAGAACCCAUAAUUACAUGAAGAUAGGUGGUUUCUUUGUGUCCACACACGUGACUUCCACUACAACUAGAAAUAAUUAAACUACUUCAUGGGACCCAGAAAUGAUAUAUUGGAAGAAUCUUUUGGCUCUUCCAAUAUCAAUAGGUUGAUUGUUUUGCUCAUGUAUCUUCCAACUAGUUUCGUUCAAGUAACGGAUUCUAGCCAAUUGAAAAGAUCUUCUGAUCAACGAUAUAUAACUGAAGCUUAAAACAUACCUAGUAAUAGAUUUCUACACUAUUUUAUUAGUAGUGUUAUCAAUGAUAUGAAGAUAGAGUAUCAAAUAUAUACUCUAUCAUCCAAACAAUCUAUGAAUGAUAUAAUUUUACCAACGAUAGAUUUACAUAUUGUGUCAUAUUAAAUCUAUCAAUCAAAAAAGUUUAUUACUACUAAUAACAAAAUCUAUUAUUUUAUAUACUCUUGGAGAUAAAUGUAAAUUGUAUUAUAUCUCUAAUUUUUUAGAUUUUACUAUAUUUUUAUAUUUGCAAAUGCCCUAAUUUUUCUUCUAUUUCCAAAAGUUUUGGUUAAUUAUCUCAUAAAAGCAUUUUUCUUUUCUUUUUUAUAAUCUAUCUCUAGAAAAAAGAAAAAAAAAAAACCUAUAAAAAUGAUUUGUAAUAGUAGUAGUGAGUGUAGUUAUCAAUAUAAACCAAGGAUAGAAGCAAUUCCUAAUCAAAGACUCGAGAGUCAAAACAUACUUUUUCUAGAAUUUCAUUUGGGUGUGUCUCUUGAAGAAAAAAUCAUUUUUGGUCAUUGCUAACACUACAAAUUUUAGAUAAAUGAUAUUUUUAAAAAUGGCACACAUAUAUUAGCAUACUUCAACUUGACAUGAAUCUUCUUAUUAGGCCAUGAAUCUUCAACUCAAAGUUAAAAGUUUUGAUCUCCAUAAAAAAAAAUGGGUCUAAGAAUUAAAGUGUUCUUGAUUCUCAAAAAGAUAUUUCCACAAAGGAGUGGAGCAUACUCCACUUGAUCGUUGACUGAUAAAAUAAACAGAUUCACGAACUAAGCUCCCAUGGCUGCCCAAAGCUUUCCCAUUUACAUAUCCAUGCUUCUGGGUUUGUUGGCAAUUUUAUCAUCAUAUGGGAGUUGUAGCUUUGACACCAACUUUUCCAUUGAAGAAGCAACUUUGAAAGACCUCCAACUUGCUUUCUACCAAAACAAACUCACCUCAACGCAACUUGUUGAGUUUUACCUCGAACAAGUGCGUAGAUUUAACCCCAUCCUGAAUGGGAUCAUAGAAGUGAAUCCAGAUGCUUUAAACCAAGCCUCUCAAGCCGACCUUGAGCGCAAGAGAAGCUCACCGAGAUCUUUGUCUCCACUUCAUGGCAUUCCUGUACUUGU
rnacentral:lncRNA from 1 species